rnacentral:rRNA from 1 species
UACGUACGAGGCGAGCGUUAUCCGGAAUUAUUGGGCGUAAAGCGUCUGUAGGUGGUUACGCUAGUCGGCUGUUAAAGAUCAGGGCUGAACCCUGAGCAAGCAGUCGAACUGCGUGGCUGGAGUACGGUAGGGGCAGAGGGAAUUCCCGGUGUAGGCGGUGAAAUGCGUAGAGUAUCGGGAAGAACGACCAAAGGCGAAAGCGCUCUGCUGGGCCGAAACUGAACACUCGAGAGACGGAAAGGCUGAGGGGCAGACGAAUGGGACUUAAGGAAACC